rnacentral:rRNA from 1 species
AUUGAACGCUAGCGGCAUGCUUUACACAUGCAAGUCGAACGGUAACAGGGAGCUUGCUCCGCUGACGAGUGGCGAACGGGUGAGUAAUAUAUCGGAACGUGCCCAAGAGUGGGGGAUAACGUAGCGAAAGUUACGCUAAUACCGCAUACGAUCCAAGGAUGAAAGCAGGGGACCUUCGGGCCUUGUGCUCCUGGAGCGGCCGAUAUCUGAUUAGCUAGUUGGUGAGGUAAAGGCUCACCAAGGCGACGAUCAGUAGCUGGUCUGAGAGGACGACCAGCCACACUGGAACUGAGACACGGUCCAGACUCCUACGGGAGGCAGCAGUGGGGAAUUUUGGACAAUGGGGGCAACCCUGAUCCAGCAAUGCCGCGUGAGUGGAGAAGGCCUUCGGGUUGUAAAGCUCUUUUGUCAGGGAAGAAAAGGGUACGGCUAAUAUCCGUGCCUCAUGACGGUACCUGAAGAAUAAGCACCGGCUAACUACGUGCCAGCCGCCGCAGUAA